rnacentral:tRNA from 1 species
GACUUGAUGGCGCAAUGGUAGCGCGUCCGACUCCAGAUCGGAAGGCUGCGUGUUCAAGUCACGUUCGGGUCA